UAGCUUGGGGGAUAUUGGUAUGACGUCCGCUUGACGUGCGGAAGGUCGCGAGUUCAAUUCUCGCCGGGCCCA
rnacentral:tRNA from 1 species